AUUGUGUCGGAAGUGAGAUUUUCACCCCAGUCAACUUCAAAUCCGUGUAGCAAAAAAUCUAAAUGGUCAACCCCCUACAAAAUUAUGAUGAGGAGAUUGCCAAAUGUUGUCCCCAUUGUGCCUAUAAAGAUUGGAACCAACGGAAUGUUGAGAAAAAAGCUACAGCCUGUGAUGUUACAGCCAUUUAACAUUGAAGUCAAUGGGCAAAUAAUUGCUAGUCUGAGUCCUGAUGAGGUAAAGAAACAUGGCCGACUCGGGAUGUUGAUAUUUUUUCAAGGGCUUAUUUCCUGAAAUUUUGAAUGGAAAGUGUCAGAAAUAGUAAGAAUACUGCUUUUUUAUUGCCCAGCAGUAAGUUUUUUGACUAUUUGGUAUCAAAAUAGCCAUGAUUGGGGGUAUCCGUUGGUUGAGUGUGAAUUUUGGGUUGUAAAUGUGUAACAUUUUCUUCACAAUGAUAUCAAAACAUGGUUAGGUCUAAAUAUUAAGGCCAACUCAACUCCAGAUUUGGUCUAAAGUCACGAGAUGUAAACAAGGCUGACCCUAACCCUAACCCAAGACCCAGUCCUUACCCUAACCCUAACCCACAAUCUUGUCAAGAAGCAUGUAGCCUAGGCCUAAGCCAAGACCUAGUUCUGACCCUAGCCCAAACCCACAAUUGUGUAAAAAAAUCAUGUGCCCUAACCCUAUUUACAUGUUGUGACCUUGAACCAAGUCUGCAGUUGGCCUUAACAUUUAGACCUAACAUGUUUUUGACAUCAUACAAUGAAAUGUUAACAUGUACACUCCAAAAUUCACACCUGUGUGACUUUUGACCAAACAUGCAGUUGGCCUUAAUAUUUAGACCGAACCUCAAAACAUGGCAUCUACCUUUGAGAUUGGCUUAGACUUAUGUGACACUCAAGGUUUACUUUUUUACUGAUUGUUAACUGGUUUCUUUUUGGAGGGCCAGUGACGGGCUGUUCGCGAGAAAUAAAGAGGUUUAUUUCUAUUUCCAGUUGAAACCAUAUUUUUUUCUUAUUUUCUCACUGUUUUUUAUUGCAUAUUUAUCCCCAGCCUCCUAUCAUUUCAGGUGCCAGGGCAUUGUUUCAUAGAGUGGAAUGAUUGACCUCAACACAAGUAUUAAAAAAAAAGAAGCAAAACAGGUCUACAUCUCAAAACCUGAUCUCUUCCUGGACUGGCUUUAGGAGAACGAUGAUGCAUAUCAAUUUCAUCCCUGAUCUCUAUGACACCUGUGGUGGAAGUGGAGGGCAAAUCGUAAUCAGUUUGGGACCUCUGUAAACUUUGCUUUUUGGUGAUGACUUAAUUUCCGAGCUUGAAAAGGACGCUUGUGUGUUUAUCAUGGCCUCUCAUAUUGGAAGAUAACAUUAAUGGCUUGUGUGUUGAUCGACGGUUGUGCAUAUCUCUUGGUCAGGAAAGUUGUAGGCACCAUCGCCAUUGUAAAUCAUUUGACAGGCUCGAGUGAACGGGGCGACCUAUGAUUGGUCAGCAAUGUAUCAGAUUCCAUACCGGGGGGUGGGGAUGAAAAAACUGUUGUAGUGUUACAUAAUCAGAUUAUUUCAACUUACUUAUCCUGUGGAAAUACAGCUAUAUAGGAGAUAUUUUGAAAUUCAUAGGCACUGCAUGUUUCAACAUUUUAGAUUUGACCACAAUUUGGCACUUAAAACUAUGUUAACAGAGAAAAACUGUGUGGUUUUCGAUGAAAGUGUUAAAAGUCUAAUAUUGCAUCAUGAUUACUGUUUUAAAGUAUUUUCGUGUUUGAUUUAUAUUGAAUUCAUCUCAUCUUUUUGAAGAAUGCAUUUAUGUUCAAAAAUAAAAAUGUUCUGUGGAAUUCAAAAUUCAUGUGCUUUUAAAUUAUCAGAUUCCAAACUGGGGGGUAGGGAUGAAAAAGCUGUUGUAGUGUUACAUAAUCAGAUUAUUUCAACUUACUUAUCCUAUGGAAAUACAGCUAUAUAGGAGAUAUUUUAAAAUUCAUAGGCACUGCAUGUUUCAACAUUUUAGAUUUGACCACAAUUUGGCACUUGAAACUACGUUAACAGAGAAAAACUGUGUGGUUUUCGAUGAAAGUGUUAAAAAGUCUAAUAUUGCAUCAUGAUUACUGUUUUAAAGUAUUUUCGUGUUUGAUUUAUAUUGAAUUUAUCUCAUCUUUUUACAGAAUGCAUUUAUGUUCAAAAAUAAAAAUGUUCUGUUUAAUUCAAAAUUCAUGUGCUUUUAAAUUUCUGUCUGAAAUUCCGCAGUUUUCUGAUGCAUUAUAGUGUUUGCAGAAUGCCGCACAGCUCAUCUGAAAAUGCAUAGAUUUUCAUAUUCUUUGGUCAGGGAAUUGCAUAUAUGUUUGUUUAUUAGAUAACAACAGAUUUGUUUAAACUGCAGAAACAUGUGAGGUAUAUAUAUAUGGACUAAGACUAGUAAUUAUUUCCCCUUAUUUCAUGAUGGACGAAUGUAGUGCGAGUUAUAAAUAGACAAUUUUUCCCUUAAUUUUUUUCUCCCCUCUUCCUGCAUUUUUGGGUUGACUUUUUGGUCUAGAAUUGGAGAAAAGGGAUCAAAUUUGCAAUUUCAUAGCAGUUUUGGGUAAUACUGAUGAUAUUACAGCGGAGGGAUAGGGGGUGUAAAGUGUCUUUCUGCAGAGCAGUCAUUGUGUCGGAAGUGAGAUUUUCACCCCAGUCAACUUCAAAUCCGUGUAGCAAAAAAUCUAAAUGGUCAACCCCCUACAAAAUUAUGAUGAGGAGAUUGCCAAAUGUUGUCCCCAUUGUGCCUAUAAAGAUUGGAACCAACGGAAUGUUGAGAAAAAAGCUACAGCCUGUGAUGUUACAGCCAUUUAACAUUGAAGUCAAUGGGCAAAUAAUUGCUAGUCUGAGUCCUGAUGAGGUAAAGAAACAUGGCCGACUCGGGAUGUUGAUAUUUUUUCAAGGGCUUAUUUCCUGAAAUUUUGAAUGGAAAGUGUCAGAAAUAGUAAGAAUACUGCUUUUUUAUUGCCCAGCAGUAAGUUUUUUGACUAUUUGGUAUCAAAAUAGCCAUGAUUGGGGGUAUCCGUUGGUUGAGUGUGAAUUUUGGGUUGUAAAUGUGUAACAUUUUCUUCACAAUGAUAUCAAAACAUGGUUAGGUCUAAAUAUUAAGGCCAACUCAACUCCAGAUUUGGUCUAAAGUCACGAGAUGUAAACAAGGCUGACCCUAACCCUAACCCAAGACCCAGUCCUUACCCUAACCCUAACCCACAAUCUUGUCAAGAAGCAUGUAGCCUAGGCCUAAGCCAAGACCUAGUUCUGACCCUAGCCCAAACCCACAAUUGUGUAAAAAAAUCAUGUGCCCUAACCCUAUUUACAUGUUGUGACCUUGAACCAAGUCUGCAGUUGGCCUUAACAUUUAGACCUAACAUGUUUUUGACAUCAUACAAUGAAAUGUUAACAUGUACACUCCAAAAUUCACACCUGUGUGACUUUUGACCAAACAUGCAGUUGGCCUUAAUAUUUAGACCGAACCUCAAAACAUGGCAUCUACCUUUGAGAUUGGCUUAGACUUAUGUGACACUCAAGGUUUACUUUUUUACUGAUUGUUAACUGGUUUCUUUUUGGAGGGCCAGUGACGGGCUGUUCGCGAGAAAUAAAGAGGUUUAUUUCUAUUUCCAGUUGAAACCAUAUUUUUUUCUUAUUUUCUCACUGUUUUUUAUUGCAUAUUUAUCCCCAGCCUCCUAUCAUUUCAGGUGCCAGGGCAUUGUUUCAUAGAGUGGAAUGAUUGACCUCAACACAAGUAUUAAAAAAAAAGAAGCAAAACAGGUCUACAUCUCAAAACCUGAUCUCUUCCUGGACUGGCUUUAGGAGAACGAUGAUGCAUAUCAAUUUCAUCCCUGAUCUCUAUGACACCUGUGGUGGAAGUGGAGGGCAAAUCGUAAUCAGUUUGGGACCUCUGUAAACUUUGCUUUUUGGUGAUGACUUAAUUUCCGAGCUUGAAAAGGACGCUUGUGUGUUUAUCAUGGCCUCUCAUAUUGGAAGAUAACAUUAAUGGCUUGUGUGUUGAUCGACGGUUGUGCAUAUCUCUUGGUCAGGAAAGUUGUAGGCACCAUCGCCAUUGUAAAUCAUUUGACAGGCUCGAGUGAACGGGGCGACCUAUGAUUGGUCAGCAAUGUAUCAGAUUCCAUACCGGGGGGUGGGGAUGAAAAAACUGUUGUAGUGUUACAUAAUCAGAUUAUUUCAACUUACUUAUCCUGUGGAAAUACAGCUAUAUAGGAGAUAUUUUGAAAUUCAUAGGCACUGCAUGUUUCAACAUUUUAGAUUUGACCACAAUUUGGCACUUAAAACUAUGUUAACAGAGAAAAACUGUGUGGUUUUCGAUGAAAGUGUUAAAAGUCUAAUAUUGCAUCAUGAUUACUGUUUUAAAGUAUUUUCGUGUUUGAUUUAUAUUGAAUUCAUCUCAUCUUUUUGAAGAAUGCAUUUAUGUUCAAAAAUAAAAAUGUUCUGUGGAAUUCAAAAUUCAUGUGCUUUUAAAUUAUCAGAUUCCAAACUGGGGGGUAGGGAUGAAAAAGCUGUUGUAGUGUUACAUAAUCAGAUUAUUUCAACUUACUUAUCCUAUGGAAAUACAGCUAUAUAGGAGAUAUUUUAAAAUUCAUAGGCACUGCAUGUUUCAACAUUUUAGAUUUGACCACAAUUUGGCACUUGAAACUACGUUAACAGAGAAAAACUGUGUGGUUUUCGAUGAAAGUGUUAAAAAGUCUAAUAUUGCAUCAUGAUUACUGUUUUAAAGUAUUUUCGUGUUUGAUUUAUAUUGAAUUUAUCUCAUCUUUUUACAGAAUGCAUUUAUGUUCAAAAAUAAAAAUGUUCUGUUUAAUUCAAAAUUCAUGUGCUUUUAAAUUUCUGUCUGAAAUUCCGCAGUUUUCUGAUGCAUUAUAGUGUUUGCAGAAUGCCGCACAGCUCAUCUGAAAAUGCAUAGAUUUUCAUAUUCUUUGGUCAGGGAAUUGCAUAUAUGUUUGUUUAUUAGAUAACAACAGAUUUGUUUAAACUGCAGAAACAUGUGAGGUAUAUAGGACUAAGACUAGUAAUUAUUUCCCCUUAUUUCAUGAUGGACGAAUGUAGUGCGAGUUAUAAAUAGACAAUUUUUCCCUUAAUUUUUUUCUCCCCUCUUCCUGCAUUUUUGGGUUGACUUUUUGGUCUAGAAUUGGAGAAAAGGGAUCAAAUUUGCAAUUUCAUAGCAGUUUUGGGUAAUACUGAUGAUAUUACAGCGGAGGGAUAGGGGGUGUAAAGUGUCUUUCUGCAGAGCAGUCAUUGUGUCGGAAGUGAGAUUUUCACCCCAGUCAACUUCAAAUCCGUGUAGCAAAAAAUCUAAAUGGUCAACCCCCUACAAAAUUAUGAUGAGGAGAUUGCCAAAUGUUGUCCCCAUUGUGCCUAUAAAGAUUGGAACCAACGGAAUGUUGAGAAAAAAGCUACAGCCUGUGAUGUUACAGCCAUUUAACAUUGAAGUCAAUGGGCAAAUAAUUGCUAGUCUGAGUCCUGAUGAGGUAAAGAAACAUGGCCGACUCGGGAUGUUGAUAUUUUUUCAAGGGCUUAUUUCCUGAAAUUUUGAAUGGAAAGUGUCAGAAAUAGUAAGAAUACUGCUUUUUUAUUGCCCAGCAGUAAGUUUUUUGACUAUUUGGUAUCAAAAUAGCCAUGAUUGGGGGUAUCCGUUGGUUGAGUGUGAAUUUUGGGUUGUAAAUGUGUAACAUUUUCUUCACAAUGAUAUCAAAACAUGGUUAGGUCUAAAUAUUAAGGCCAACUCAACUCCAGAUUUGGUCUAAAGUCACGAGAUGUAAACAAGGCUGACCCUAACCCUAACCCAAGACCCAGUCCUUACCCUAACCCUAACCCACAAUCUUGUCAAGAAGCAUGUAGCCUAGGCCUAAGCCAAGACCUAGUUCUGACCCUAGCCCAAACCCACAAUUGUGUAAAAAAAUCAUGUGCCCUAACCCUAUUUACAUGUUGUGACCUUGAACCAAGUCUGCAGUUGGCCUUAACAUUUAGACCUAACAUGUUUUUGACAUCAUACAAUGAAAUGUUAACAUGUACACUCCAAAAUUCACACCUGUGUGACUUUUGACCAAACAUGCAGUUGGCCUUAAUAUUUAGACCGAACCUCAAAACAUGGCAUCUACCUUUGAGAUUGGCUUAGACUUAUGUGACACUCAAGGUUUACUUUUUUACUGAUUGUUAACUGGUUUCUUUUUGGAGGGCCAGUGACGGGCUGUUCGCGAGAAAUAAAGAGGUUUAUUUCUAUUUCCAGUUGAAACCAUAUUUUUUUCUUAUUUUCUCACUGUUUUUUAUUGCAUAUUUAUCCCCAGCCUCCUAUCAUUUCAGGUGCCAGGGCAUUGUUUCAUAGAGUGGAAUGAUUGACCUCAACACAAGUAUUAAAAAAAAAGAAGCAAAACAGGUCUACAUCUCAAAACCUGAUCUCUUCCUGGACUGGCUUUAGGAGAACGAUGAUGCAUAUCAAUUUCAUCCCUGAUCUCUAUGACACCUGUGGUGGAAGUGGAGGGCAAAUCGUAAUCAGUUUGGGACCUCUGUAAACUUUGCUUUUUGGUGAUGACUUAAUUUCCGAGCUUGAAAAGGACGCUUGUGUGUUUAUCAUGGCCUCUCAUAUUGGAAGAUAACAUUAAUGGCUUGUGUGUUGAUCGACGGUUGUGCAUAUCUCUUGGUCAGGAAAGUUGUAGGCACCAUCGCCAUUGUAAAUCAUUUGACAGGCUCGAGUGAACGGGGCGACCUAUGAUUGGUCAGCAAUGUAUCAGAUUCCAUACCGGGGGGUGGGGAUGAAAAAACUGUUGUAGUGUUACAUAAUCAGAUUAUUUCAACUUACUUAUCCUGUGGAAAUACAGCUAUAUAGGAGAUAUUUUGAAAUUCAUAGGCACUGCAUGUUUCAACAUUUUAGAUUUGACCACAAUUUGGCACUUAAAACUAUGUUAACAGAGAAAAACUGUGUGGUUUUCGAUGAAAGUGUUAAAAGUCUAAUAUUGCAUCAUGAUUACUGUUUUAAAGUAUUUUCGUGUUUGAUUUAUAUUGAAUUCAUCUCAUCUUUUUGAAGAAUGCAUUUAUGUUCAAAAAUAAAAAUGUUCUGUGGAAUUCAAAAUUCAUGUGCUUUUAAAUUAUCAGAUUCCAAACUGGGGGGUAGGGAUGAAAAAGCUGUUGUAGUGUUACAUAAUCAGAUUAUUUCAACUUACUUAUCCUAUGGAAAUACAGCUAUAUAGGAGAUAUUUUAAAAUUCAUAGGCACUGCAUGUUUCAACAUUUUAGAUUUGACCACAAUUUGGCACUUGAAACUACGUUAACAGAGAAAAACUGUGUGGUUUUCGAUGAAAGUGUUAAAAAGUCUAAUAUUGCAUCAUGAUUACUGUUUUAAAGUAUUUUCGUGUUUGAUUUAUAUUGAAUUUAUCUCAUCUUUUUACAGAAUGCAUUUAUGUUCAAAAAUAAAAAUGUUCUGUUUAAUUCAAAAUUCAUGUGCUUUUAAAUUUCUGUCUGAAAUUCCGCAGUUUUCUGAUGCAUUAUAGUGUUUGCAGAAUGCCGCACAGCUCAUCUGAAAAUGCAUAGAUUUUCAUAUUCUUUGGUCAGGGAAUUGCAUAUAUGUUUGUUUAUUAGAUAACAACAGAUUUGUUUAAACUGCAGAAACAUGUGAGGUAUAUAGGACUAAGACUAGUAAUUAUUUCCCCUUAUUUCAUGAUGGACGAAUGUAGUGCGAGUUAUAAAUAGACAAUUUUUCCCUUAAUUUUUUUCUCCCCUCUUCCUGCAUUUUUGGGUUGACUUUUUGGUCUAGAAUUGGAGAAAAGGGAUCAAAUUUGCAAUUUCAUAGCAGUUUUGGGUAAUACUGAUGAUAUUACAGCGGAGGGAUAGGGGGUGUAAAGUGUCUUUCUGCAGAGCAGUCAUUGUGUCGGAAGUGAGAUUUUCACCCCAGUCAACUUCAAAUCCGUGUAGCAAAAAAUCUAAAUGGUCAACCCCCUACAAAAUUAUGAUGAGGAGAUUGCCAAAUGUUGUCCCCAUUGUGCCUAUAAAGAUUGGAACCAACGGAAUGUUGAGAAAAAAGCUACAGCCUGUGAUGUUACAGCCAUUUAACAUUGAAGUCAAUGGGCAAAUAAUUGCUAGUCUGAGUCCUGAUGAGGUAAAGAAACAUGGCCGACUCGGGAUGUUGAUAUUUUUUCAAGGGCUUAUUUCCUGAAAUUUUGAAUGGAAAGUGUCAGAAAUAGUAAGAAUACUGCUUUUUUAUUGCCCAGCAGUAAGUUUUUUGACUAUUUGGUAUCAAAAUAGCCAUGAUUGGGGGUAUCCGUUGGUUGAGUGUGAAUUUUGGGUUGUAAAUGUGUAACAUUUUCUUCACAAUGAUAUCAAAACAUGGUUAGGUCUAAAUAUUAAGGCCAACUCAACUCCAGAUUUGGUCUAAAGUCACGAGAUGUAAACAAGGCUGACCCUAACCCUAACCCAAGACCCAGUCCUUACCCUAACCCUAACCCACAAUCUUGUCAAGAAGCAUGUAGCCUAGGCCUAAGCCAAGACCUAGUUCUGACCCUAGCCCAAACCCACAAUUGUGUAAAAAAAUCAUGUGCCCUAACCCUAUUUACAUGUUGUGACCUUGAACCAAGUCUGCAGUUGGCCUUAACAUUUAGACCUAACAUGUUUUUGACAUCAUACAAUGAAAUGUUAACAUGUACACUCCAAAAUUCACACCUGUGUGACUUUUGACCAAACAUGCAGUUGGCCUUAAUAUUUAGACCGAACCUCAAAACAUGGCAUCUACCUUUGAGAUUGGCUUAGACUUAUGUGACACUCAAGGUUUACUUUUUUACUGAUUGUUAACUGGUUUCUUUUUGGAGGGCCAGUGACGGGCUGUUCGCGAGAAAUAAAGAGGUUUAUUUCUAUUUCCAGUUGAAACCAUAUUUUUUUCUUAUUUUCUCACUGUUUUUUAUUGCAUAUUUAUCCCCAGCCUCCUAUCAUUUCAGGUGCCAGGGCAUUGUUUCAUAGAGUGGAAUGAUUGACCUCAACACAAGUAUUAAAAAAAAAGAAGCAAAACAGGUCUACAUCUCAAAACCUGAUCUCUUCCUGGACUGGCUUUAGGAGAACGAUGAUGCAUAUCAAUUUCAUCCCUGAUCUCUAUGACACCUGUGGUGGAAGUGGAGGGCAAAUCGUAAUCAGUUUGGGACCUCUGUAAACUUUGCUUUUUGGUGAUGACUUAAUUUCCGAGCUUGAAAAGGACGCUUGUGUGUUUAUCAUGGCCUCUCAUAUUGGAAGAUAACAUUAAUGGCUUGUGUGUUGAUCGACGGUUGUGCAUAUCUCUUGGUCAGGAAAGUUGUAGGCACCAUCGCCAUUGUAAAUCAUUUGACAGGCUCGAGUGAACGGGGCGACCUAUGAUUGGUCAGCAAUGUAUCAGAUUCCAUACCGGGGGGUGGGGAUGAAAAAACUGUUGUAGUGUUACAUAAUCAGAUUAUUUCAACUUACUUAUCCUGUGGAAAUACAGCUAUAUAGGAGAUAUUUUGAAAUUCAUAGGCACUGCAUGUUUCAACAUUUUAGAUUUGACCACAAUUUGGCACUUAAAACUAUGUUAACAGAGAAAAACUGUGUGGUUUUCGAUGAAAGUGUUAAAAGUCUAAUAUUGCAUCAUGAUUACUGUUUUAAAGUAUUUUCGUGUUUGAUUUAUAUUGAAUUCAUCUCAUCUUUUUGAAGAAUGCAUUUAUGUUCAAAAAUAAAAAUGUUCUGUGGAAUUCAAAAUUCAUGUGCUUUUAAAUUAUCAGAUUCCAAACUGGGGGGUAGGGAUGAAAAAGCUGUUGUAGUGUUACAUAAUCAGAUUAUUUCAACUUACUUAUCCUAUGGAAAUACAGCUAUAUAGGAGAUAUUUUAAAAUUCAUAGGCACUGCAUGUUUCAACAUUUUAGAUUUGACCACAAUUUGGCACUUGAAACUACGUUAACAGAGAAAAACUGUGUGGUUUUCGAUGAAAGUGUUAAAAAGUCUAAUAUUGCAUCAUGAUUACUGUUUUAAAGUAUUUUCGUGUUUGAUUUAUAUUGAAUUUAUCUCAUCUUUUUACAGAAUGCAUUUAUGUUCAAAAAUAAAAAUGUUCUGUUUAAUUCAAAAUUCAUGUGCUUUUAAAUUUCUGUCUGAAAUUCCGCAGUUUUCUGAUGCAUUAUAGUGUUUGCAGAAUGCCGCACAGCUCAUCUGAAAAUGCAUAGAUUUUCAUAUUCUUUGGUCAGGGAAUUGCAUAUAUGUUUGUUUAUUAGAUAACAACAGAUUUGUUUAAACUGCAGAAACAUGUGAGGUAUAUAUAUAUGGACUAAGACUAGUAAUUAUUUCCCCUUAUUUCAUGAUGGACGAAUGUAGUGCGAGUUAUAAAUAGACAAUUUUUCCCUUAAUUUUUUUCUCCCCUCUUCCUGCAUUUUUGGGUUGACUUUUUGGUCUAGAAUUGGAGAAAAGGGAUCAAAUUUGCAAUUUCAUAGCAGUUUUGGGUAAUACUGAUGAUAUUACAGCGGAGGGAUAGGGGGUGUAAAGUGUCUUUCUGCAGAGCAGUCAUUGUGUCGGAAGUGAGAUUUUCACCCCAGUCAACUUCAAAUCCGUGUAGCAAAAAAUCUAAAUGGUCAACCCCCUACAAAAUUAUGAUGAGGAGAUUGCCAAAUGUUGUCCCCAUUGUGCCUAUAAAGAUUGGAACCAACGGAAUGUUGAGAAAAAAGCUACAGCCUGUGAUGUUACAGCCAUUUAACAUUGAAGUCAAUGGGCAAAUAAUUGCUAGUCUGAGUCCUGAUGAGGUAAAGAAACAUGGCCGACUCGGGAUGUUGAUAUUUUUUCAAGGGCUUAUUUCCUGAAAUUUUGAAUGGAAAGUGUCAGAAAUAGUAAGAAUACUGCUUUUUUAUUGCCCAGCAGUAAGUUUUUUGACUAUUUGGUAUCAAAAUAGCCAUGAUUGGGGGUAUCCGUUGGUUGAGUGUGAAUUUUGGGUUGUAAAUGUGUAACAUUUUCUUCACAAUGAUAUCAAAACAUGGUUAGGUCUAAAUAUUAAGGCCAACUCAACUCCAGAUUUGGUCUAAAGUCACGAGAUGUAAACAAGGCUGACCCUAACCCUAACCCAAGACCCAGUCCUUACCCUAACCCUAACCCACAAUCUUGUCAAGAAGCAUGUAGCCUAGGCCUAAGCCAAGACCUAGUUCUGACCCUAGCCCAAACCCACAAUUGUGUAAAAAAAUCAUGUGCCCUAACCCUAUUUACAUGUUGUGACCUUGAACCAAGUCUGCAGUUGGCCUUAACAUUUAGACCUAACAUGUUUUUGACAUCAUACAAUGAAAUGUUAACAUGUACACUCCAAAAUUCACACCUGUGUGACUUUUGACCAAACAUGCAGUUGGCCUUAAUAUUUAGACCGAACCUCAAAACAUGGCAUCUACCUUUGAGAUUGGCUUAGACUUAUGUGACACUCAAGGUUUACUUUUUUACUGAUUGUUAACUGGUUUCUUUUUGGAGGGCCAGUGACGGGCUGUUCGCGAGAAAUAAAGAGGUUUAUUUCUAUUUCCAGUUGAAACCAUAUUUUUUUCUUAUUUUCUCACUGUUUUUUAUUGCAUAUUUAUCCCCAGCCUCCUAUCAUUUCAGGUGCCAGGGCAUUGUUUCAUAGAGUGGAAUGAUUGACCUCAACACAAGUAUUAAAAAAAAAGAAGCAAAACAGGUCUACAUCUCAAAACCUGAUCUCUUCCUGGACUGGCUUUAGGAGAACGAUGAUGCAUAUCAAUUUCAUCCCUGAUCUCUAUGACACCUGUGGUGGAAGUGGAGGGCAAAUCGUAAUCAGUUUGGGACCUCUGUAAACUUUGCUUUUUGGUGAUGACUUAAUUUCCGAGCUUGAAAAGGACGCUUGUGUGUUUAUCAUGGCCUCUCAUAUUGGAAGAUAACAUUAAUGGCUUGUGUGUUGAUCGACGGUUGUGCAUAUCUCUUGGUCAGGAAAGUUGUAGGCACCAUCGCCAUUGUAAAUCAUUUGACAGGCUCGAGUGAACGGGGCGACCUAUGAUUGGUCAGCAAUGUAUCAGAUUCCAUACCGGGGGGUGGGGAUGAAAAAACUGUUGUAGUGUUACAUAAUCAGAUUAUUUCAACUUACUUAUCCUGUGGAAAUACAGCUAUAUAGGAGAUAUUUUGAAAUUCAUAGGCACUGCAUGUUUCAACAUUUUAGAUUUGACCACAAUUUGGCACUUAAAACUAUGUUAACAGAGAAAAACUGUGUGGUUUUCGAUGAAAGUGUUAAAAGUCUAAUAUUGCAUCAUGAUUACUGUUUUAAAGUAUUUUCGUGUUUGAUUUAUAUUGAAUUCAUCUCAUCUUUUUGAAGAAUGCAUUUAUGUUCAAAAAUAAAAAUGUUCUGUGGAAUUCAAAAUUCAUGUGCUUUUAAAUUAUCAGAUUCCAAACUGGGGGGUAGGGAUGAAAAAGCUGUUGUAGUGUUACAUAAUCAGAUUAUUUCAACUUACUUAUCCUAUGGAAAUACAGCUAUAUAGGAGAUAUUUUAAAAUUCAUAGGCACUGCAUGUUUCAACAUUUUAGAUUUGACCACAAUUUGGCACUUGAAACUACGUUAACAGAGAAAAACUGUGUGGUUUUCGAUGAAAGUGUUAAAAAGUCUAAUAUUGCAUCAUGAUUACUGUUUUAAAGUAUUUUCGUGUUUGAUUUAUAUUGAAUUUAUCUCAUCUUUUUACAGAAUGCAUUUAUGUUCAAAAAUAAAAAUGUUCUGUUUAAUUCAAAAUUCAUGUGCUUUUAAAUUUCUGUC